rnacentral:rRNA from 1 species
CCUACGGGUGGCAGCAGUCGAGAAUCAUUCACAAUGGGGGAAACCCUGAUGGUGCGACGCCGCGUGGGGGAAUGAAGGUCUUCGGAUUGUAAACCCCUGUCAUGUGGGAGCAAAUUAAAAAGAUAGUACCACAAGAGGAAGAGACGGCUAACUCUGUGUCAGCAGCCGCGGUAAUACAGAGGUCUCAAGCGUUGUUCGGAAUCACUGGGCGUAAGGCGUGCGUAGGCUGUUUCGUAAGUCGUGUGUGAAAGGCGCGGGCUCAACCCGCGGACGGCACAUGAUACUGCGAGACUAGAGUAAUGGAGGGGGAACCGGAAUUCUCGGUGUAGCAGUGAAAUGCGUAGAUAUCGAGAGGAACACUCGUGGCGAAGGCGGGUUCCUGGACAUUAACUGACGCUGAGGCACGAAGGCCAGGGGAGCGAAAGGGAUUAGAUACCCGAGUAGUC